rnacentral:rRNA from 1 species
ACUAGAGUAUGAUAGAGGUAAGCGGAAUUUCUAGUGUAGAGGUGAAAUUCGUAGAUAUUAGAAAGAACACCAAUUGCGAAGGCAGCUUUCUGGAUCAUAACUGACACUGAGGAGCGAAAGCAUGGGUAGCGAAGAGGAUUAGAUACCCUCGUAGUCCAUGCUGUAAACGAUGUGUGCUAGACGUUGGAAACUUAGUUUUCAGUGUCGCAGCAAAAGCGUUAAGCACACCGCCUGGGGAGUACGACCGCAUGGUUAAAACUCAAAUGAAUUGACGGGGACCCGCACAAGCAGUGGAGCAUGUGGUUUAAUUCGAAGAUACGCGCAGAACCUUACCAACACUUGACAUGUUCGUCGCGACUCUAAGAGAUUAGAGUCUUCGGUUCGGCCGGACGAAACACAGGUGCUGCAUGGCUGUCGUCAGCUCGUGUCGUGAGAUGUUGGGUUAAGUCCCGCAACGAGCGCAACCCUUACUUUUAGUUGCCACCAUUUAGUUGGGCACUCUAAAAGAACUGCCAGUGAUAAGCUGGAGGAAGGUGGGGAUGACGUCAAGUCCUCAUGGCCCUUACGUGUUGGGCUACACACGUGCUACAAUGGUACUUACAAUGAGAUGCGAAGAGGCGACUCUAAGCCAAUCCCACAAAGGUACCUCAGUUCGGAUUGUACUCUGCCACUCGAGUACAUGCAGCUGGCAUUGCUA